UGCUAAUUGUGAACUCAAUUC
rnacentral:piRNA from 1 species